GUUUAUGUUUAGGGUUUCCCUCUCACAUCUGCCGUGUCUUUCUUCGUGUUCAUUGCGAUAGACUGUAACGUUUUCUCUUCUUCUUAAUAUCGAGCUUUAAUUCCAUGCCCACCUUUAUAUCCACUCCGUCGCAUUUAUUUUCAUAAACGAGCAUCUUCGUAACAGUUCCAAGUUCUACCUAUAAAUAGGUGUAUGCGGUGAGCGAUGAAGAUCUGCACUCGAUAAUUUAUUUUUGCUUAAACAAUCCGACACACUCCUUCAAACAUGUCGUCUUCCUAUGUUCUUCUCUCCAACUUGAGAGCCGGUCUUCCAACACGACGGAGGUGCGUCUUCUGAGGUUCUUGGAAGCUCGCAAUGGCAGGAAAGAUGGAGACAUGCUUCUCCUUGAUGAGCAGUUUACCCUAAUCCACAGGACCAUCAACUCAAGUCGCGGCCAUACUUUCCGAAAGCGGCUCAGUGAAGGCUCCGUGUUCUCUCUCAUUUUCAGUUGCUGCUAAAAACAGAAUGAGCCUUCUGAGACAAAGCCCCUAACGGUACACAAUCUUUCACACCACUUCUCUUUCGGUAAGAAUCUCCAAUAAAAAAUAUUUUUUUCCUCAGUUGGGUUUUGUGCGUGUGCUCUGUGAGGAGGAAUUGAAUUUGAUGUUCUUGGAUUCAUCAAAGAUGAUGUCUUCGUAGAAAACAGGAAGAAAAACACAUUAUAUAAGAAAAAAACGGAAUUGAAAAGAAUCCAUGUCGAAGAAGUCAAGAGUCUUUUGAGGAACGAGUUUCUGCCGAUCUUGCUUUAGCAGAGGACCACAACAGAGGCUCUUUUCUCAGGCUUUUCUUCUGGUACCUCGGAUUUUGCUGCCCUUAUUUUGUUUGGAAAGACACUUGAUGGUUGCAAAAGCAGGAGAUGACAGAGUGAAGCCAUAAACAUGUCUCAAGACCACAAACCAAUCUACUUACCGUAAAGAAGAAAGUCGAAGGAAGUGGCGGCUUACUUAGAUGUCAUAGCGGGAAAUGUAAGAGGGUCACGAUCUCCACUCAUAGCAGAGCCAGGAGAUCAAAAAGAUACAUUUAACAGACGAAGACAAGUUUCUAAUAAUGGGAUGGGACGAGAUUUGGGACGUUUUGACAAAAAGGUUUUUGUAUCAGAGAUUGAGGGCCUUUUUGACGGUUGAAUGAAAAGAUAAUGACAUUCCCUUUUGUGUUCUUGGCUGAGCUAUUCUUGCUUUUGUAUGUUUUGGUGUUUGUAUCUAACCUCGAGUGUCUACGUGCCCCAAUUUUGUCUAAGCGGUUAUUUGUUCGCGCAUGGAUUGAAAGUUUUUAUACGUACGUGUUCCA